GACGAACCGUGCAAACGUUGUUCGGAAUCACUGGGCUUAAAGGGCGCGUAGGCGGGUUCGUAAGUCUGUGGUGAAAGCCCCCAGCUUAACUGGGGAAGUGCCAUGGAUACUGCGAGUCUUGAGGAGGGUAGGGGCAUCUGGAACACUGGGUGGAGCGGUGAAAUGCGUUGAUAUCCAGUGGAACUCCGGUGGCGAAGGCGAGGUGCUGGACCCCUUCUGACGCUGAUGCGCGAAAGCCAGGGGAGCAAACGGG
rnacentral:rRNA from 1 species